AUGGCUCAGGACGAACGCUGGCGGCGUGCCUAACACAUGCAAGUCGAGCGAUGAAGUCUUCGGAAUGGAUUAGCGGCGGACGGGUGAGUAACACGUGGGUAACCUGCCUUGUAGAGGGGGAUAGCCUUCCGAAAGGAAGAUUAAUACCGCAUAACAUCUUUUUAUCGCAUGGUAGAAAGAUCAAAGGAGUAAUCCGCUACAAGAUGGACCCGCGGCGCAUUAGCUAGUUGGUGAGGUAACGGCUCACCAAGGCGACGAUGCGUAGCCGACCUGAGAGGGUGAUCGGCCACAUUGGAACUGAGACACGGUCCAGACUCCUACGGGAGGCAGCAGUGGGGAAUAUUGCGCAAUUGGGGGGAAACCCUGACGCAGCAACGCCGCGUGAAUGAAGAAGGCCUUAGGGUUGUAAAGUUCUGUUUACGGGGACGAUAAUGACGGUACCCGUGGAGGAAGCCACGGCUAACUACGUGCCAGCCGCCGC
rnacentral:rRNA from 1 species